GUGCUGUCAUUGUUUGUGAUCCUGACAAGGGUUUGCUUAAAGUGACAGGUGAUGGUGUCACAGUUCUUGUUUCUCAAGUGAACGGUUCUAAAUUAAGGUCGGUAGAAGAAGUGGCAGCAGCUUCAGAUGGAAGCUUAUAUUUCAGCGUUGGUAGCACCAAGUAUAAUGUGCACAACUGAUAUCUGGAUCUGCUGGAGCUAAGACC